UCUUAUUUUGAGUACACUUAAACCCUAAUUAAAGAGCUGCCAUCACAACCUUCUUCGUCAUCUCUCCCAUAGCAUAUUCGGAUCGGAUAGUCAUCUCCUUCAACCGACUGCCGUCUCCAUCAUCUUUCUUCCUUCGCACCACUUUUCCGGCAAAGAACCCUACCAGAAUCCAUAUCUGCCUCUAUCUCUAACCUAACUCCUCCACUACUCCACCACUCAUCCUUACAGACGCUAAUAUCGUUGCUGCCCCCACAUCCGUCGAGACAUGGGACGUAAAUCUUGCAAUAGAAGCUUCAACAAACACACAGAGUCCAUACAAAGCUGCUACUUUAAUCACACAAGAAUCUCCAAACAAAGAGAUGAUGAUUUCCAUAAAAAAGUGAUCAAGAUACAGCUUUAUGGAGACUAAAGGUUUUAAUAGGAGAGGAAAAAGAAGAGAACAUAUAAUCCAAUAUACAAUAUUAAUACAAUAUUAAUAGUGAAGUGAGCACUUCAUCUACUUAUGAAGAACUCGACCCAUGGACAGCUUGGGCCUACAAGCUUCGAACAAUUUCAUUGUUAUUCAUUGGUGCAUGUUUUCUUAUUUGGGCAAGUGGAGCUUUUACUCGUGAAAGUAAUUCAUUUCCAGAUCUUGUUACAUCAGUCAAAAGUGAUCAAGAUGUUUUUGGAAGAAAAGAUGAAGAAGGACAUAUCUGGCUGAAGUGGUUUAUAUCCGACUUAAUUAAAAAAUUGAUUUAAGAAACGUUAAUUAUCUUUUUUUCUUUUUCUAUAGCAGAUGAUUGUUGCUAACAAGCUAACAGAAACAAACAAGAGCAAGUUAUUAAUGAGGCGGAAGUAACAUCUGUAGCCUAGACUGAGAUUUUGGAGCUUUUGGAUGACUAAACAUAUGUUUUGAUAAAUCAGAACCAAAAUGGGAAGGAUGGACACUAGAACAGGAGGUUAAUGCUGCUUUUUAGAACUUUGAUAAUUGUUUAAUCCUAAAAACGUAAAAAAACAUAUGUUUGUAUUGUUAAGUAUUUUAUUUUUCAAUGCUUUACCCAUGUAUUGAUAAAACAGAUCACGCUGGAACUACAUUCAUUCGGUUUUAUUGUAAGUU